rnacentral:rRNA from 1 species
UGGGGAAUAUUGGGCAAUGGAGGCAACUCUGACCCAGCAACGCCGCGUGAAUGAAGAAGGUCUUCGGAUUGUAAAGUUCUGUGAUAGGGGACGAAGGAAGUGACGGUACCCUAAUAGCAAGCCACGGCAAACUACGUGCCAGCAGCCGCGGUAAUACGUAGGUGGCAAGCGUUGUCCGGAAUGACUGGGCGUAAAGGGUGCGUAGGCGGUCUGUCAAGUUAGGAGUGAAAUCCCAAGGCUUAACCUUGGAACUGCUCUUAAGACUGAUGGACUUGAGUGUCGGAGAGGUAAAUGGAAUUCCUAGUGUAGCGGUGGAAUGCGUAGAUAUUAGGAGGAACACCAGAGGCGAAGGCGAUUUACUGGACGAUAACUGACGCUGAGGCACGAAAGCGUGGGGAGCAAACA